UAGGGAAUCUUCCGCAAUGGGCGAAAGCCUGACGGAGCAACGCCGCGUGAGUGAUGAAGGUCUUCGGAUCGUAAAACUCUGUUAUUAGGGAAGAACAAAUGUGUAAGUAACUAUGCACGUCUUGACGGUACCUAAUCAGAAAGCCACGGCUAACUACGUGCCAGCAGCCGCGGUAAUCCGUAUGUGGCAAGCGUUAUCCGGAAUUAUUGGGCGUAAAGCGCGCGUAUGCGGUUUUUUAAGUCUGAUGUGAAAGCCCACGGCUCAACCGUGGAGGGUCAUUGGAAACUGGAAAACUUGAGUGCAGAAGAGGAAAGUGGAAUUCCAUGUGUAGCGGUGAAAUGCGCAGAGAUAUGGAGGAACACCAGUGGCGAAGGCGACUUUCUGGUCUGUAACUGACGCUGAUGUGCGAAAGCGUGGGGAUCAAACAGG
rnacentral:rRNA from 1 species